UUCCAGUACCUGGAAGAUAAAAUUGCGGGCAAGCUCCCUCCCUGGCAGGGAAGACAUGUGGGCUCUGCGGGCCGUGUGGUUCUUGUUAAGGCCGUCCUAACUGCCAUUGCUAUCUGCCAUCUCACGCCUCUCGACAUCCCGGUGGAGGUCCUCAAGAAAAUCGAUAGUAUUCACCGUGCAUAUCUUUGGGCAGGCUCAGACAAGGUGUCUGGAGGAAAAUGCAAGGUUAACUGGGAGCUCAUCUGUAAGCCCAAGGACAAGGGUGGGCUCGGAGUGCUUAACCUAGAUAAGUUCGCCAAGGCUCUACGGCUCCGAUGGCUAUGGUUUGAAUGGACUGACAAGAGCAAGCCAUGGAUUGGCAUGGGGACGCCGUGCACGGAGGAUGAUCGACACUUCUUUGCGGCUGCCACCACGGUCCUUGUCGGCAACGGACGAACGACGCAAUUCUGGAACUCGACGUGGCUCAAUGGCUUGCGCCCCCGUGACAUAGCGCCGGACAUCUUUAACCUUUCUCACAAGAAGAACUCAACGGUCCAACAAGCCAUGACCAACAACAUGUGGAUCGCUAAUAUUGAUGGCACCAAUGGUCUGUCCGUUGCGCAUAUCGAGCAGUUUGCUGACCUUUGGGAAAAAUUAUCAACGGUGGCCCUUGAGAAAAAUUAUCAACGGUGGCACAUGAGCUUAAACUCUGAGUUUGCAUUAUAA
rnacentral:rRNA from 1 species